rnacentral:rRNA from 1 species
UACAGAGGGGGCAAGCGUUGUCCGGAAUUACUGGGCGUACAGCGCGCGCAGGCGGUUGCCGACGUGCCGUGUGACAAACGGGGGCUCAACCCCCGAGGGCCACGGUAAACGGGGCGACUGGAGGAAGGGAGAGGGAUGUGGAAUGCCCGGUGGAGCGGUGAAAUGCGUAGAUAUCGGGGAGGAAUACCAGUGGCGAAGGCGGCUUCUUGGCCUGUUCUUGACGCUGAGGCGCGAAAGCUGGGGGGAGCAAACGGGG